AUGCAAGUCGCACGAGAAAGCGGGGGCAACCUCGCAAGUACAGUGGCGUACGGGUGAGUAACACGUGGAUGAUCUACCCUUUAGUGGGGAAUAACCCUGGGAAACCGGGGCUAAUACCGCAUAAGCCCGAGAGGGGAAAGCAGCAAUGCGCUGAAGGAGGAGUCCGCGGCCGAUUAGCUGGUUGGCAGGGUAAAAGCCUACCAAGGCAAAGAUCGGUAGCCGGCCUGAGAGGGCACACGGCCACACUGGCACUGCAACACGGGCCAGACUCCUACGGGAGGCAGCAGUGGGGAAUCUUGCACAAUGGGGGAAACCCUGAUGCAGCGACGCCGCGUGAGCGAUGAAGCCCUUCGGGGUGUAAAGCUCUUUCGGCAGGGACGAUGAUGACGGUACCUGCAGAAGCAGCUGCGGCUAACUACGUGCCAGCAGCCGCGGUAAUACGUANGCAGCGAGCGUUGUUCGGAGUUACUGGGCGUAAAGGGUGUG
rnacentral:rRNA from 1 species